AUUGAACGCUGGCGGCAGGCCUAACACAUGCAAGUCGAGCGGGGUUUUCGGACCUAGCGGCGGACGGGUGAGUAAUGCGUAGGAAGCUACCCGAUAGAGGGGGAUACCAGUUGGAAACGACUGUUAAUACCGCAUAAUGUCUACGGACCAGAGUGUGGGACCUUCGGGCCACAUGCUAUCGGAUGCGCCUACGUGGGAUUAGCUAGUUGGUGAGGUAAUGGCUCACCAAGGCGACGAUCCCUAGCUGGUUUGAGAGGAUGAUCAGCCACACUGGAAAUGAGACACGGUCCAGACUCCUACGGGAGGCAGCAGUGGGGAAUAUUGGACAAUGGGCGCAAGCCUGAUCCAGCCAUGCCGCGUGUGUGAAGAAGGCCUUCGGGUUGUAAAGCACUUUCAGUAGGGAGGAAGCGUUGUGUGUUAAUAGUACACAGCGUUGACGUUACCUACAGAAGAAGCACCGGCUAACUCUGUGCCAGCCGCCGCAGUAAAAC
rnacentral:rRNA from 1 species